GAUGAACGCUAGCGGCAGGCCUAAUACAUGCAAGACUAGGGGGCAGCAAUGUCACCGUCGCACGGGUGCGUAACGCGUAUGCAACCUACCUAUCACAGGGGGAUAGCCUUUGGAAACAGGGAUUAAUACCGCAUAAAGCAGGGGCUCCGCAUGGAGAUAUUGCUAAAGAUUUAUCGGUGAGAGAUGGGCAGGCGUGUGAUUAGUUAGAUGGUGGGGUAACGGCCUACCGUGACGAGGAUCAGUAGGGGGCGUCAGAGCGUGGUCCCCCACACUGGCACUGAGAUACGGGCCAGACUCCUACGGGAGGCAGCAGUAGGGAAUAUUGGGCAAUGGAUGCAAGUCUGACCCAGCCAUGCCGCGUGCAGGAAGAAGGUCCUCUGGAUUGUAAACCGCUUUUUUGGGGGAAGAAGAGACACCUUGCGAGGUGUUGUGACGGUACCCUAAGAAUAAGCCACGGCUAACUACGUGCCAGCCGCCGCAGUAAGAC
rnacentral:rRNA from 1 species